rnacentral:rRNA from 11 species
GACUUUGGACAUACCUGCCUUAAAGGCACCAGAUGUUGUCUGAUCUUGGAAGUUAAGCAGGACUGGUUUGAGUUUGUAUUUGGAUGGGAGGCUGCCAAUGAAUACCAGACACUUCAGGAUAU